rnacentral:rRNA from 1 species
GACGAACGCUGGCGGCGUGCUUAACACAUGCCAGUCGAACGGAAAGGCCCUGCUUUUGUGGGGUGCUCGAGUGGCGAACGGGUGAGUAACACGUGAGUAACCUGCCCUUGACUUUGGGAUAACUUCAGGAAACUGGGGCUAAUACCGGAUAGGAGCUCCUGCUGCAUGGUGGGGGUUGGAAAGUUUCGGCGGUUGGGGAUGGACUCGCGGCUUAUCAGCUUGUUGGUGGGGUAGUGGCUUACCAAGGCUUUGACGGGUAGCCGGCCUGAGAGGGUGACCGGCCACAUUGGGACUGAGAUACGGCCCAGACUCCUACGGGAGGCAGCAGUGGGGAAUAUUGCACAAUGGGCGGAAGCCUGAUGCAGCAACGCCGCGUGCGGGAGGACGGCCUUCGGGUUGUAAACCGCUUUCGCCUGUGACGAAGCGUGAGUGACGGGAAUGGGGAAAGAAGCACCGGCUAACUACGU